AACGAACGCUGGCGGCAUGCCUAACACAUGCAAGUCGAACGAGACCUUCGGGUCUAGUGGCGCACGGGUGCGUAACGCGUGGGAACCUGCCCUUAGGUUCGGAAUAACUCCCCGAAAGGGGUGCUAAUACCGGAUAAUGUCUUCGGACCAAAGAUUUAUCGCCUUUGGAUGGGCCCGCGUUGGAUUAGCUGGUUGGUAGGGUAAAAGCCUACCAAGGCGACGAUCCAUAGCUGGUCUGAGAGGAUGAUCAGCCACACUGGGACUGAGACCCGGCCCAGACUCCUCGGGAAGGAAGCAGUGGGGAAUAUUGGACAAUGGGCGAAAGCCUGCUCCAGCAAUGCCGCGUGAGUGAUGAAGGCCUUAGGGUUGUAAAGCUCUUUUACCCGGGAUGAUAAUGACAGUACCGGGAGAAUAAGCUCCGGCUAACUCCGU
rnacentral:rRNA from 1 species